rnacentral:rRNA from 1 species
GACGAACGCUGGCGGCGUGCUUAACACAUGCAAGUCGAACGGAAAGGCCCUGCUUUUGUGGGGUGCUCGAGUGGCGAACGGGUGAGUAACACGUGAGUAACCUGCCCUUGACUUUGGGAUAACUUCAGGAAACUGGGGCUAAUACCGGAUAGGAGCUCCUGCUGCAUGGUGGUGGUUGGAAAGUUUCGGCGGUUGGGGAUGGACUCGCGGCUUAUCAGCUUUGUGGUGGGGUAGUGGCUUACCAAGGCUUUGACGGGUAGCCGGCCUGAGAGGGUGACCGGCCACAUUGGGAUUGAGAUACGGCCCAGACUCCUACGGGAGGAAGCAGUGGGGAAUAUUGCACAAUGGGCGGAAGCCGGAUGCAGCAACGCCGCGUGCGGGAGGACGGCCUUCGGGGUGGAAACCGCGUGCGCCUGUGACGAAGCGUGAGUGACGGUAAUGGGUAAAGAAGCACCGGCUAACUACGUG